rnacentral:rRNA from 1 species
UGCCAGCCGCCGCGGUAAUACGGAGGGUGCAAGCGUUAAUCGGAAUUACUGGGCGUAAAGCGCGCGUAGGCGGCUUGGUCAGUCGGAUGUGAAAGCCCCGGGCUUAACCUGGGAACUGCAUUCGAUACUGCCAAGCUAGAGUAUGGAAGAGGGAAGUGGAAUUCCGGGUGUAGCGGUGAAAUGCGUAGAUAUCCGGAGGAACACCAGUGGCGAAGGCGACUUCCUGGGCCAAUACUGACGCUGAGGUGCGAAAGCGUGGGGAGCAAACAGGAUUAGAUA